GGAAUUUGAUUAGAAAAAUAUGUAGAAUUUAAAUAUGAUAUUAUUUUAUCUGUUAAACGUUUAAUAAAAAUACUAUCUACGGUGCAAUCUUAAUAAAUAAGUCAUUAUUUGUCUUUCUUUCAUACCGGUACUCAUCCGGGUUGGGGAUGAACACGUCAACAAAAUCAGGAUUAGAGAUGAAACUGAAGGUCACUUGACUGAUUCUUUGUACGUAUUAAAUCUACAUGCAAGCCGUGUUAAAAUAGAAGACCUCUGAAAUUUUGAACUGCAUUUUUGUAGGAUAAGACAAUCUUUAUUUGUGUCGUAACUACAAAUUCUCAGAUUAUAGACCAUUUUUUAUAAAUUAAGAGCGUGUGGUAUUUCUUUCUCCCGUUGCAAUGC
rnacentral:lncRNA from 1 species